CAACAAAAUUAGUCAGUUCUUCCAAAAGCUCUUUGGGAUCUCAGCACAGCCUCAGAAGGAUCCAGCUCUGCCAGAGCCUCUGUGUAUCCCAGAAGCGAUUGUGGCAGGAGGAACCAAGUCUCUUCUUAUGGUGCGUUAUUGUUGCGUCAGCGACCACGUGCUAUAAAAACGGGAACGUAUGCGCUUUUUGAGGUGUGUCGCUUGACUAAUCGUAGCGCCGUUAACACGCUUUCGUCAUCUCCCCGGAACUAAUUGGAGCACGCGAGCUGAGACGUGACUCAAGUAGUGGUUUUGAACCAAUGUUCCUUGCCGCCGGGCCACCUGAGGGGGUUCGUAGAAGUACUUAAAUACUGGAGAAGCUGUGGUAACCGGACACGCUUACCGAAUAGUUUUUUGUUCCCUGCAUUGACACGUACUACUCGUAUCAGUGGUUGAAAUCCAAAUUCCUUCGGUCCGUAAGUAGGUUUUUCAUUAUAAUAUAGUGGGGUAAGGGGAGUGUGUUUUAAUAGUGUAACGCUCUCUUUCUUGCUUUUUAGGAUAAGUGAAGGUCCAUAAACUGCACUACAGUCGCCUUUUUUGCUUUAAUGGUUGCAGUGCUGUCCUGUUUCCAGAACUUUUUUGAUUUAAUAUUAUUUUUUUGGUUUUCCAUAUGUCUUCCCCUUUUGAAGUUGAACUGAUUUCUUUUUGUUUUCGGUUUUGAUUUAUUCGAACUGACUUCCUUUAGUACUCAGUGGAGCUAAUUAUGUGACUUUUGGUCAAGUUGUUUUGUUUGUUUUCUUUUGUGCUUUAAUUCUCUUGAUGGGUUGUUGAUGAUGCUAUUUCAUUUAAGUGACGAAGUUACUGACCUGCCUUCUUUGUUGUGACAGGGCCUGAGCACCGGGGCAGAGAAUUCCUUUUAGGUGGUGGUAUCUUCCUCACAGCGUGCAGUGAUCACCUUCCUAUGUGCGUGCGUGUGUGUGUGUGUGAGUGUGCCCGUGUGUCUACAAAGUGAAAUGCAGUCACCAGCGAGUGGUGUGGUCUGUCCUCCCUAGUUUCGGUAAGCUCCAGCCCGGGGGCCCUUGACUUUUAGAAGUGUCUUGUGUAGAUCCAACAACCUUCUAGACUAUUUUAAAUGUUAUUCCAUCUAAGAUUUGUCAAUAAAAAAUGUGUCGUGACCAACUUCUCUGACUCUUAAUUGGUGGUACGAAUCUGUGUUAGCCUAAUUUAGGUGGUUUAUUUCAACUCUUUGGGUGAAAUUCCCAUAGUGGCGUAGUCGGAGUGCUAGUCCCCUUUCAUACUGGGGAAGUCUGAUAUUUCCUGCCACCUGACCCCAUCAUCCCAACGCCACACAAGCAUUCCCAAACAAGAACCUCAAGCGACAGAGCAUUCAGUCUUAGAGAACUAUAUUCCUCUAAACAUUUCCCAAUUGAAAAAUCUUUUGGAGGAAGGUAAACUGUCCGAGACGCCUGUCACUGAGGUCUGGCCCAACAUCUUCUUGGG